GACGAACGCUGGCGGCGUGCUUAACACAUGCAAGUCGAACGAUGAAGAAGAGACACGCGAACUUCGGUUCAAAUUUCACUUCGGAUUAGUGGCAGACGGGUGAGUAACGCGUGAGCAACCUACCUCUUACAAAGGGAUAGCCUCGGGAAACCGUGAUUAAUACCAUAUGACACAUUCAUAAGGCAUCUUAAGAAUGUUAAAGCUACGGCGGUAAGAGAUGGGCUCGCGUCCCAUUAGCUAGUUGGUGAGGUAACGGCCCACCAAGGCGACGAUGGGUAACCGGCCUGAGAGGGUGAACGGUCACAUUGGAACUGGGACACGGUCCAAACUCCUACGGGAGGCAGCAGUGGGGAAUAUUGCACAAUGGAGGGAACUCUGAUGCAGCGACGCCGCGUGAGCGAUGAAGGAAUUCGUUUCGUAAAGCUCUGUUCUAUGGGAAGAAAAGGACUGUACCAUAGGAGAAAGCCCCGGCUAAAUACGUG
rnacentral:rRNA from 1 species